rnacentral:lncRNA from 13 species
GUAAGCGCAGGGCUGGGGUCAGCGGCUGUAAGCGCAGGGCUGGGGUCAGCGUCUGUAAGCGCAGGGCUGGGGUCAGCGGCCGUAACGGCAGGGCUGGGGUCAGUGGCCGUAACGGCAGGGCUGGGGUCAGUGGCCGUAACGGCAGGGCUGGGGUCAGCGGCUGUAAGCGCAGGGCUGGGGUCAGCGGCCGUUUGACCAGGGUCCAUAGGGAAUAGUGUGCCAUUUGGUAGAUCAGACGAGAAGGCCCUACUAAAUAUACAGUACACACACAACUACAUAGACUUUCCUCUCUUCUUCACAAGUCUCUCAAUGUUCUCUUUUUCAUCAGUCACACUUUAGAUUCUCUUCCUUUCCUCUCCUCUCCUCUCCUCUCCUCUCCUUUCUUUCUGCCUGAAAGUGGGAUAAGAUUUAACACAGUCCAUUCCAGAUAUUCCACUCCAGACGUUAUUUUGGGCCAUCCUCCCCUCAGCAGCCUCCACUGACAGGGGGAAGAGGGUUAUUUUUGUGUUCUCCUUAGCUGGUGAAGGAGAGGAGGUGUCUUGGUUUGAGUCUCGGUUAAAGUCUGUUUCUGCAGUUUGAUCUGGUCUGAUCCGGUUUGG